UGCAAGAGCCUUUGGCCCCAUGGAGGGCCUGCUGGCUGCCGGCUUCUUCACCUCAGCUCCUUCUGGAGAUGACCAAGGCUGUGGUGGUGUCUGAAGAUUUAAGCAAGACCCAGGUCAUGCUGGGUUUCAUGGGGAGAUGAUGGGGUUCAUCAGGACAAAGACAAAAAUUCCUUAAAAUUAUCUCAAAAGAGUGAAGAAUAUCAGAAAAUGUUAACAGACUGGAUAAAAAUGUAGAUAUUCAGGAAAGUCUAAAACCAUUCAUAAUAAGCUCAAAAAUUAAAAGAAGAAAUAAACAAUCUCAAUGAACCUAGUAAAGCCACAUCCACAAGCAUAGGCCAAGUCACACAUGACAGAGAAUGACAGAUCUGAUCCCUGUCUACAGCCUGGGAAGUCUGACACCCUCGCCUGGCCCCCUUCUUGAUGGUAACAUUGUGGGGGGCAGAGAGGGGUGACUUGGACUAGGAUACGUAAAGUGAAUCCGGAAAACAGACAACCUGGAUGAUCAAGCAGGAACUGAUUUAAAAGAAUUGAUGUCUGCUGCUAAGGAGUAUGAAGCCCUGAGGGCUGAGACCACGUCUGCCUGGUUUUCUGUGGCAGCUGCAGCAUCAACACUGGCUCUUCGAAGAGUAGCAGCUGAUGAACAUUACUCCGGCAAACAAUUUUCUCUGCUAG
rnacentral:lncRNA from 1 species